UGAUGUAUUAUUUCAUUCAACGGCUGUGUGAUGACCCAGCUGAUCCAAUCUUCAUCCUGAUC
rnacentral:snoRNA from 1 species